rnacentral:rRNA from 1 species
CAGUAGCCGCGGGAAUACGUAGGUCCCGAGCGCUGUCCGGAUCUAUUGGGCGUAAAGCGAGCGCAGGCGGUUUGAUGAGUCUGAAGUUAAAGGCUGUGGCUCAACCAUAGUUCGCUUUGGAAACUGUCAAACUUGAGUGCAGAAGGGGAGAGUGGAAUUCCAUGUGUAGCGGUGAAAUGCGUAGAUAUAUGGAGGAACACCGGUGGCGAAAGCGGCUCCCUGGUCUGUAACUGACGCUGAGGCUCGAAAGCGUGGGGCGCAAACAGGAUUAGAUACCCGCGUAGUCCCUGUCUCUUAUACC